rnacentral:rRNA from 1 species
ACGGAAGGCAGCAGCUAAGAAUAUUCCGCAAUGGACGGAAGUAUGACGGAGCGACGCAGCGUGGAUGAUGAAGGCCGGAAGGUUGUAAAAUCCUUUUAUAACUGAGGAAUAAGUAUGGUGAGAGAAACGCCAUAUGGUGACUGUAGGUUAUGAAUAAGCAACGGCUAAUUACGUGCCAGCAGCCGCGGUAACACGUAAGUUGCGAGCGUAGUUCGGAAUUAUUGGGCGUAAAGGGCAUGUAGGCGGUUUUGCAAGCUUGGUGUGAAAGGCAGGAGCUUAACUCCUGGACUGCGUUGAGAACUGCAUAACUAGAGUCACUGAGGGGCAAUCAGAAUUCCAGGUGUAGGGGUGAAAUCUGUAGAUAUCUGGAAGAAUACCAAUGGCGAAGGCAGGUUACCAGCAGAUGACUGACGCUGAGGUGCGAAGGUGCGGGGAGCAAACAGGAUUA